GGGACAUUACCGAGUUUACAACUCCCAAACCCCUGUGAACAUACCUAUACGUUGCCUCGGCGGAUCAGCCCGCGCCCCGUAAAAAGGGACGGCCCGCCCGAGGACCCCUAAACUCUGUUUUUAGUGGAACUUCUGAGUAAAACAAACAAAUAAAUCAAAACUUUCAACAACGGAUCUCUUGGUUCUGGCAUCGAUGAAGAACGCAGCAAAAUGCGAUAAGUAAUGUGAAUUGCAGAAUUCAGUGAAUCAUCGAAUCUUUGAACGCACAUUGCGCCCGCCAGUAUUCUGGCGGGCAUGCCUGUUCGAGCGUCAUUUCAACCCUCAAGCUCAGCUUGGUGUUGGGACUCGCGGUAACCCGCGUUCCCCAAAUCGAUUGGCGGUCACGUCGAGCUUCCAUAGCGUAGUAAUCAUACACCUCGUUACUGGUAAUCGUCGCGGCCACGCCGUAAAACCCCAACUUCUGAAUGUUGACCUCGGAUCAGGUAGGAAUACCCGCUGAACUUAAGCAUAUCAAAAG
rnacentral:rRNA from 1 species